UACGGAGGAUCCAAGCGUUAUCCGGAUUUAUUGGGUUUAAAGGGAGCGUAGGCGGCCCGUUAAGUCAGGGGUGAAAGACGGUGGCUCAACCAUCGCAGUGCCUUUGAUACUGACGGGCUUGAAUGUAGUUGAGGUGGGCGGAAUGUGACAAGUAGCGGUGAAAUGCAUAGAUAUGUCACAGAACACCGAUUGCGAAGGCA
rnacentral:rRNA from 1 species